rnacentral:rRNA from 1 species
CCUACGGGAGGCAGCAGUGGGGAAUAUUGCACAAUGGGGGAAACCCUGAUGCAGCGACGCCGCGUGAGUGAAGAAGCGUUUCGGCGUGUAAAGCUCUGUCAGCGGGGAAGAAACACGGUUCGCGAGUGCCGCGGACGGUACCCGACCAAGAAGCCCAGGCUAAAUACGUGCCAGCAGCCGCGGUAAUACGUAGGGGGCAAGCGUUAUCCGGAUUCACUGGGUGUAAAGGGAGCGUAGACGGCGAGACAAGUCUGGAGUGAAAGGCCGGGGCCCAACCCCGGGACUGCUCUGGAAACUGCCUGGCUAGAGUACAGGAGAGGUAAGUGGAAUGCCUAGUGUAGCGGUGAAAUGCGUAGAUAUUAGGAGGAACACCAGUGGCGAAGGCGGCUUACUGGACUGUAACUGACGUUGAGGCUCGAAAGCGUGGGGAGCAAACAGGAUUAGAUACCCUAGUAGUC